rnacentral:rRNA from 1 species
UAAUACAGAGACCUCAAGCGUUAUCCGGAAUCAUUGGGCGUAAAGCGUACCGAUAGGUGGUUAUACAAGUCAGAAGUGAAAUUCCAAAGCUUAACUUUGGGUCUGUCUUUUGAAACUGUAUAACUAGAAGGGCAAAGAGGAAGCUGGAACAAACGGUGUAGUAGUGAAAUGCGUUGAUAUCGUUUGGAACACCAAUAGCGUAGGCAGGCUUCUGGGUGCCACUUGACACUGCUAGGACGAAAGCGUGGGGAGCGAAUGGGAUUAGAUACCCCAGUAGUCCACGCUGUAAACGAUGAUGAUUAGGUGCUAGGGAGUAUCGACCCUCCUUAGUACCAUAGCUAACGCGUUAAAUCAUCCGCCUGGGGAGUACGGCCGCAAGGCUA